GGCUCAACGCGGGGGCGGCGGAAGCGACGGCACGGAGCCGAGGGCGCGCUCGGCCGCCAACUUUCCCCCCUCGGGGGGCGCCGAGGUGAGGGAACGGGCUGCAGCGGGGCGCUCCGCACACAGCCGCCGCCUCAGCCGCAUCGGAAAGCGCAAGGAGCCUUCGGCCGGGUCACGCAGCCGGGUGGCUGAGGGGAGGCGAGGCCGCGGGAACCGGCGCUCACCUGCGCGGGGCCUGGGGCACCUGCCAGGCCUCGGCGGGCAGCGAGGUGCCCGGGGGCAGCGCUGGAACGUCACGGCGCGGCACGGCCCGCGGGCUCGGAGAGUGCAGGGGGACCGCACCGCGCUCCUGAAACCUAUUUUGACUUUGUCUCCGGAAAGCUGUUCAGCGGAGAGGCUGGCUGAUUAAUUGAUUUUAAUGAAGGUCUCCCUAGGCUCAAAUUCACAGACAGCUUUAUUUAAAAUUAAAAGGAAAAAAAAAAAAAAAAAGUGAGUGUGCUUGUCAGGAAAGCUUUUUUUUUUUCUUUUUUUUUUUUGCCCCACUCCAGUUCUGUUAUCAUCUUUAUCUAUAUUUAUACAGCCCUACAAUGUUAUUAAUUACUUGGAGCAAAAGUGUGACUAAAAAAAAAAGCUUCAAAAUCUGCAUAGAGCUCUGUUGAUUGUAUAGACAUAAAUAAUUGCACUGAUCCUGCUGACAGUUAACGACCUCAGACUGUUCUCAGCACUGUAAAAUUAGGCGUAUGUAUAAGAAGAAAUAGAACCCACAUUUGUUUUGUUAACUGUAUUGCAGGUGGGGAUGUUCCUGACGCUGCAGUAGCUGAAGAGUAGCCGAGCCUGAAAAUGCAGUAGUAUGGUCAGUGGAUGGAAAAUAAGCAUUUGCCCACUUCCAAACAACACAAAAGUGUGAAUAAUCAUCCCGGUUUAACUUAACAGUGUCCUAUGUAUCACAGAGCCUGUCAGUGGUGGUGACAAAAUAAGCUUUGUCCUUUAAGUUGGGUUAGUCGUUUUCUUUUACGUUCAUUUUUUUUCACAUACUUUUACAUACAUUUUGUGAUAUUUCCUCUCUUCUAAAUGUAUUUUUCUUAAUGUUUUCUCUUAGUACAAAUGCAACCACUAUUGAAAAACCACCACAUUGAAAACCACUUCUACUUCAGUCAUAGAGUUUGCAAGCAAAGUUUGCAGAUAGACUUUGAACCACAGAACUGCUAACAAUAUGGAACCACUUUUAGGGGGUGAGGGUGGAAAUAGGUGGCAGAUACACAGUGGUCCUCAGAACGUUGUCAGGGUUGAGGGCUGCAGCGAAAAUGCUAGCUGACAGCUUGAACCAGUGAUUGAGCACCUGGUAGGAAGGCAGGGCCAAUCCAGGAGAGCUCAGGUGCAAGCAAUGCAUUUGACUGACUGGAAAGGCUAGAGUCAGGAUCCACCCCUUCCCAGACCUCAUUUAAGGGUUGGCAGGGAAGGGAAGGGUAUCUCUCUGGAGAUCCCUGUGUACCUGAGGCUUUUUGAAGAGUCAGCACAUGUGUAAAUCAGUGUGGUCAAAGAAUAGACGUAACAAUAGAAUGUUGAAUACCUCUGUCAUCAGCUCUGCCACCACAAGCAAAUAAGGCUUGCGUUUUCAUUGUGAUUUGGAACACAUUGAAGUUAUGGAGUCAUCUCUUGUCUGUAUCUGAGAGUAUAUUGUUUCAUGAGUCUGCUGCAUGAAGCUUUCAGUAGGAUAAAUGACUGAACACCCUUCUGCAGGGAAAUUGCAAGGAAAAACCAUCCUCAUAUUUCUCAGGAUCACCAGGUUAUGACUCAAACUAAUGGAUUUUACUCUCCAGUGAGAAGACUGAGCAUUCACAUUGAAGAAGCAGCCUUCUGCUAUGGAGCCAGUAAUUCACAGGAAACAAUCCUGCCAUAGUGUUUGAAGGGCACCCAUGUCCCAUGAGCAGCAGAAUUAAUACUGCUUCUCUGCAUAGUUGCUCUGAUAAGGCACCUAAUGAAGCAACUCAUAAAAAAUGCUCUGUACUUUCACCAUGGAGCUCAGCCAGAGUUUCUAUCCUAUAUAGCUAUUAAAUAUAUCUUUUUUUUUAUAUAUGAGGUAUUUACAGUUUUGUCAUGACUAAAUGUUUGCAGUCUUAACGCAACCCACACUCUUCUAUGUGGCUGUUCAGAUCUAAAAUUUCAAAGGUUUGCAAGAUCUCCUUGUGCUUUAUUGGAUAUAAGCAACGUUCAGUUUAGUUAACAUCAGUGAAAGUGUGCUGCAGAUACGUUUCCUCUGCUUCUGGCUUUCUUGAGGUUCUUAGUUUCAAGAUGUUAAGAUUUCCAAAAUAAGUUCUUGUUUUUGUGUGGUUUUUUUUUUUUUUUUUUAAUACAAGGUGAGAAGCCUCUUCCUGGUUUUUUUUGCUAGAGAGGAAUUGUUUCAGCUGGAAUGUUCAUCAUCUUGGUGAGAAAGUAAUGAGGAAGAGGUUGCUGUGAUUGACUGAAAAUGCAAAAUAGACAAGACUGUAUGAAGAAAUAAACUAGUGCUUCACAUAAUGGUGUCAUACAAUUACCACGUCCCUUAUACCACAGUUACCACAAACUUCUUGAUUUUAAGAUAUAUUUUCUUCCUUUUGUAGCACCAUUUAGAAAAGGCAAAAAAGAAAACAAUUCUUGGGCCUGUUAAAGCAUCUGAAGAUCUUUUAUUAUACAGCAGAGAGAGCAUUAAUCAAGACAGAGGGCUUAGUGCUCUUGAUUCUAGAGAGAGUAGGUGCCAGGCCAAAUCUCAUCGUAAUUAAAACCAG